CCCAAUCUCUCGAGGCACACAGUAACAUAUAAUCUUCUGUGUGAGCUAAAAUCUUGCCAAUUCAUUUUUCACUCUCAUGCUCCUGGAGACUAGGGCCUUGUCCCUCCCUGACUGAUCCCACACUGUGAUGGGAGAGCUCUUCAGUAUUUAGUUUUCUUCUCUCUGGCAUGAUUUGUCUACAAGAUGAAUACCCUGAAGUUCACUGGCUUCUGCUGUCAAUGCUCCACUGUUGUCCUGGGUUUGGAGAAAAUGAAUUCUCUGGAGAGUCAUAGUCUUAGCUACCCUGCUUGUCUAUGAUGCAGUGGGCGGGGCUAAGGGAAAGAUGGCUGUGACCUGGACUGACCCGCAUAUAGAUAGAAUCCUUGGGCUCUGUGUCUGUUGGUGUUAAGAUGUCAGCAUCUAGGGAAAACAUCAGCAUAUGGAGGGCACAGGCAUUGUAGGGACAGGUAGGAAGUCAGCUGUGGAAGGCUGAUUGCUAGGCUCAGAGGAGGGAGCUGAUGGAGAGUCACAGGAUGGUUCGGCUGGGCUGUGGGGGCUCUCAGCACACAGGCUUUGAGUCUAAGAACUCUAGUUAAGAGUCAGUGAAGUGACUCCAGAUAUAAAAGCAUUUGCCACACAAUUUGAUGACAGAAGCUGAAUCCCUGUAAAUCAGCAGGAGAAAAAUGACUCCAAAAAAUUGUCAUCUGACCUCCCCAUGGGUGCUAGUAACCUGCGUGCUAAGAAUCCAUUAGCUGCUCCCUUCCUGAGCCUGAAUCCCUCAUCAGGCUCAACCUGGUGCUGAAGGCGUGGCUGAUAUAUUUCCAGAGAGCCACUUUAGUCCACGUUGGAAAGACUGGCUUCCGAUGGCAGCAAGCGAUGGCAGCCAGACGGCCAGAACAACAAAAGUUAGAUAAAUUCACCAGCUCAAGACAAAGCGCCUCUGUACUUUUGGCAUUCACUUGGUACCAAAUCGGAUACCAUCCCUAUCCCGGGCCCAGCCUUCCCCUCCCUGCCUGGCACUUAAAUGCCCCAAGUGACAGCGUGGACCUGCUGACCCACUUGUAGUGUCCAAGUGACAUCUGGGAACACAGGAGACAAGGAACCACAGCAUCCAUCUCAGACUCCCCUGUUCCUCACCUGGGGAAACACGAACUAGGACCCCUAUUAUGGAUUGUGGUCUGCCUGCCCUGAGUGGCUUGCCCCAAGGCAGACACAUAACCCAACACUGGAAAGAACGUAAAGAUUGUUAGCAAUGACCACCAUCCUUAGAAAACUUUUGGAAAAAUAAAACUGUUAGUGAAGCUU